rnacentral:tRNA from 1 species
GGUGAGACGGCUCAGUGGGUAAGAGCACCUGACUGCUCUUCCGAAGGUCCAGAGUUCAAAUCCCAGCAAACCA